rnacentral:rRNA from 1 species
ACUCCGAUCGCGAAGGCAGGUGUCCGGGCUGCAACUGACGCUGAGGCUCGAAAGUGUGGGUAUCAAACAGGAUUAGAUACCCUGGUAGUCCACACAGUAAACGAUGUAUACUCGCGGUUUGCGAUAGACAGUAAGCCGCCAAGCGAAAGCAUUAAGUAUACCACCUGGGGAGUACGCCGGCAACGGUGAAACUCAAAGGAAUUGACGGGGGCCCGCACAAGCGGAGGAACAUGUGGUUUAAUUCGAUGAUACGCGAGGAACCUUACCCGGGCUUGAACUAACGGUGACAGAUCUAGAGAUAGAUUUUUCUUCGGACACCGUUGGAGGUGCUGCAUGGUUGUCGUCAGCUCGUGCCGUGAGGUGUCGGCUUAAGUGCCAUAACGAGCGCAACCCUUCUCCUCGGUUGCCAUCGGGUAAUGCCGGGCACUCCGUGGACACUGCCAUCGUAAGAUGUGAGGAAGGUGGGGAUGACGUCAAAUCAGCACGGCCCUUACGUCCGGGGCUACACACGUGUUACAAUGGGGGGUACAGAAGGCCGCUACCCGGCGACGGGAUGCUAAUCUUUAAAACCUCUCUCAGUUCGGAUCGGAGUCUGCAACCCGACUCCGUGAAGCUGGAUUCGCUAGUAAUCGCGCAUCAGCCAUGGCGCGGUGAAUACGUUCCCGGGCCUUGUACACACCGCCCGUCAAGCCAUGAAAGCCGGGGGUGCCUGAAAGCCGUGACCGCAAGGGUCGGCCUAGGGUAAAACCGGUGAUUGGGGCUAAGUCGUAACAAGGUAGCCGUACCGGAAGGUGCGGCUG